UCCAGGAUUAUGACUCAAAGCACACUAACAAGAAGCAUUUAUUACCUCCGAAGUAGUGCUGGCUCUGUAGUGCUGAAUGGAGAGGUGAGGUAUUGCAGCUGUUAUCUUUUGAACUAACUGCUAUUGCGUGUCCCAUGACCAGCCGUGGCAGGGUUUUUGUUCCCAUGAAUGAAUGGGCUAUAAAUCUGUCGGAGCUGACAGUAGCAGCAGUACUAGAGGGUGUAAAGAGAAAAUGUGCAGAAGAAUCUUGUGGUCUUUGCUUGCCUAGAAAAUGAGUUCAAUAAAAUGGAGGUGAUCAGUGCUUAUUUAUAGGGCAAACGGAUACAUCCAGCAUUGGCCGUCAGAGCCUAACUUAGUGUUUUCUCAUUUACAGUCACUCUGUUGUAAAGCACAUCUGUGCACCGAGGGCACUCGUGGAGCUUCCAGCAAUUGCAGUGGUGGAGACACGUGCAGAUAAAGGGGUGUUUUCCUCUCUGUUUCUAAGCUUCAGGAGCCUUCAGAGGUAGCUGUCUGGAGAGCUGUAGUUUUGAGGGUUCUAACAGGCAGGAAAACCCGAGGCCGAGAACAGCUCCUUAUUUAUAUUUCAGUUUUGAGGGUGAAUGGCAGGAAAUGGAAUAAAAUUAAUCGCCAUUUUUUCAGGCCCCUGAAACAAUAAAUUUCAGCAGCCAUAAAUUUGGAGCUGGGUUAAGUACUGAAAACAAUUUAUUGCUAUUUUUUCCCUUAAUUGCAUUCCCAAGAAGAAGGGUUUGGUGCUUACUGGUGGCAUUAUUAUAUAAAAAUUAUUCGUUAGAAAGCACAAUGAACAGUAAAUCAGAAGCUUACCUGAAAUAGGGUCAGGGUUCCUCACAAUUCAUCUU
rnacentral:lncRNA from 1 species